AUAAUCUCAUCCAUUAAUAAUACAAUAUUAAUAUUUUAAAGAAUUUCCUUUUAUUUCAGUUGUGCCUACAUCUCUUCAUCUACUUUCAAAUAAACACACAAAAAGAAUAUAUUCACUUAAUUCAGAAUAAAACUAUACUCAAAGUCAUGGGGCCCUAAGUUUUGAGUGGUAACUUUUUCUGUUAAAACUAUCUCAAAGCUCAUUAAAUACUCUUUCAAUAUUUGUAGAGUAUUCCAUCAUCCUAAUAUACUGUUCGUAUAUUUCAUCAUUUCCAUAUUUUUAACAUUUACCCUUCUCUUUUUUGCUAUUAGGACUAAACUUGAAAUAAACAUGUUUGCAUAAUUAACAACUGGGUCAAAUUUUCCUCAUUUCAUUGAGAUUCUUCAUUCAAGCCUCUGCUGAUGAAUUGGAUUCCAAAAAGCAGAUAUUGUUGUCCAGGUCACACCAUACGGGACUUACCACUCCCAGUUGCCAACAUCUGCACAUAUUUGCCUGGAGGUCUCCUCUGGUCACCAGAGCCUACUCUGCCUGGGCCACAUGACAUGGUGAUGUGCUGAGGAACAAAAGCCCCCAGGAGUAUCCUUCAAGCAGUGUUGGACUAGAGUUGAGGUAUACAUGCCCUAGCCCCCCAACCCUGGGCUGAGAUUCCCGGACAACUGGGUUCCCUGGUAGGACCCAGCCCCAGAUACCCAACACACUAAACUGCUUAAUGAUGGACACUUCCCAUCCCAUCUCCCUUUCCCCAUUUCCCUACCCAUGUUUCCUAGGACCACCUCCAAAACCAAGAAUUUCCCCAAGCUACUCCUUGAGGAACCCAAAUUAAGAUUGCUAAAGCACUAAGCUGGAAGUGACUCAAAACCAAAAAGCCUAACAUAACCUUUUGUCUUCUUUAAGAAUUCAUUCUGAACUGUCUGCCAAUUUCAUUUCAACAUUAGAAAAUGACUGAAAAUGUUAAAUUGGACUUGCUGGACUUCAACAUCUGACACAUUUACUCCAAGGAUACACACAUUGAGCUAUAGAAUUCCUCUGUUUUUUCGCUAUUCCUCCAUCAGAUGGUGAGUUCUGACUCCAAAAUAUGCUUUAGAUGAUUCCUCUACUCUCCAUUUCCACUGCCAGCCCCCUAGUCCAUCCCAUGCCAUCUCUUGCUAGACUGGUCAUCACUUGCUAGACUGUUACCAAAUUCUCCUGACUGGCCCAUUCCUGAUUCCAUUCUUGACCCUUCCAAUCUAUUAUUUGCAUAGCAACUAAAGAAAACGUUUAAAAAUAUACAUCAAUUGACAUCACUUCCUUCAUUAAAACCUAGCUUCCCAUUGCACAUAGAAUGAAAUCCCAAGUCCUUCUUGUGAACUAAAAGACUUCUCCCACUUCUGUUUUAACUCACUGUCCCCUUCAUUCACGGUACUCCAGGAAACUUAAUGUCCUCUCUGCUCCCAGAAUGGAUCCAGCCUGUCCAGGCCUUUGUGCUUGCUCUUCCCUCUUCCUAAAUAUUUUGACCUGGCUCUGUGUGUGUCUACUUCCUCCUCAUCUCUCAGAUCUCCUUUGCAAAAGGGCUUCUCCAAUGAUUUAAUUUAAUAUCGUCUUCUCAUGUACCCCACAUAUCAUUCUCUAGCACUGUAUUCUGUUUAUUUCCUUCAUAGGAUCUACAGCAAGUUCUAAUUGUUUCAGGUUUUUGUUUAUUUACUCAUUCAAAAAUACAUAUACUCAGUCCCUAUUAUCCCUACUCUGGGCUAGGCCCAGACCCUUGACAGGUGUGGGAGGUACACAGUAAUCAAAAACAGACCCUACCUAUAUUAGGGAGAGAAUUUAGUGAGAGAGACUGAUGUUAAACAAAUAAUAACAUGUGCAGUUUCAAAGCUGAUACUGUAACAAAUGUUAUAUACGGAGCCCUAUGAGAAGUCAAAUUAGAAAAUCUUGGCCUAGUUAGGGACGACAUCCCCAAGGAAGUAAACAAUGAGCUGGAGGCCUGUGCAGGCAAAGGUUAACUCAGCAGACCUGGGUUGUUCAAACCCUGCACAUUUUCAGGAAAGGUCUGUCUUCAGGAAUGACCCUGGGAGAUGAACUCUGAGGCUUUGGGAUGUCCUGCCUGAUAAGAGUGUGUCUCUAUGCCCAAAGCCUUGGGCAACCCGGUACCAGUUUGAUGACAUAGUUUAUGUUAACAGUGUGAUUCAUGGUGAAUGCCUGCUCUUGCUCUAGGAGGUUGAAGUCUGAGUAGCCAACAUCAAUCCCGAGGUACUACAUGCCAAUGCAACUGGCCCCCAAUUAAAAAUUCUGGACACUCACUCAGGGGAGAUUCCUGGUUGGUAGCACUUUACUCAGGCAGUCACACACUAUUGCUGGAAGAAUGAAGUGUGCUCAUGUGAUGCCACUGGAGGAGGACACCUAGAAACUUGGGCCUGUUUUUCCCGGACUUUGCCCCAAGCGUUUUUUCCCUUUUCUGGUUUGAAUCUGUAUCCUUUUACUAUAAGGAACUUCCACCAUGAGUAUUACAGCUUUUCUGAGUCCUGUGAGUUCUAGCAAAUCAUUCAGCUAAGGGUAGCCUCAGGGACCCUGACAGAGCACCAAAGAGAGUGUUUAAGGCAGAGAAAACAGCAGAAAACAGCAGACUCAAAAGCCCUAUGACAUCCCUGAGCACCUCAACAUGAGAAGUGUAACAAAAGCUGGUUAGGUGGGAAUGGAAGAGUAAGCAGGUGUGUGACACUAGGUAUCCAUAUUCUCCCUUCACUGGUGAAUGGACAUCUGUGAUUGUUGUUCACUGUCGGCAUUACCACCACAUACCAUGAUGCUUGGCACAUCAUUGAUGCCCAAGAUUAUCCGUUAAAUAAAUGAACUAUAAAUAAGCAAAUGAGCGAAUGGAAUGAAUGAUCCUCAGCUUCAUGUUACAUCCUUACAGCAAGUGUAAUUGUUAUUGGUUAUUAUUCCCAUGAUCAUCUCUGAAUACUUCAAAGUUGCUGGAUUACUUGGAUGGUACCACUGCCUCAAGACGGUUAAAGCACUAGGGGGAAAAAUGCCUCAAAACAUUUCAAAUCAAUUGAAGUUUUUAGAUAAUUUCCUGAACGUAUUGCAGUAAUUUAUAGAAAAUUAGACUUUAUCUGCAGGCUAGACUGUAAAUUUAUGUAAAUAAUAAAAGCCCCUUAUAACUUCUCAAACCCUAUGAGUUAAGUAUACUGGUCAUUAAAUGUCCCCAUUUUAUAGAUGAGAAACUACAAGGUUGACUGCUUUGUCCAAAGUCACAAGCAAAUUAGUGGCAGAGCAAAGA
rnacentral:lncRNA from 1 species